CGGGGCGUGGCGCAGCUGGCGAGCGCGCAGCGUUUGGGACGCUGAGGUCGGAGGUUCAAAUCCUCUCGCCCCGA
rnacentral:tRNA from 1 species